rnacentral:lncRNA from 1 species
GGGAGGGGAGUGCAGGGGCGGAGGUUUCUGGCUAGGGGCUGGGGUCGUCGGGGGCCUGGGCCGCUGGAGGAGAGAAGUCAAAGUGGGAAAAGUCGGUAAAGGGAAACCCUCUCUUCCUGUAGUUUUUAAAGGGGGAGGAGUGGAGUAGGCUGGUACUUUUAUUUAAGUAAUUUUAGUUGGAGAACUUGAGACUUAAAACUGGAAGACCGUCGUGCAUUACCCCUAGGUGGUAUUCGCAUUUGAAAAAUUGUUCGAGUCUCUUUCUGCCUCUUUUCUGCCUGGAUUUGGCCAUGAGAGCCAUACAUAAUUUUCUCUAUAUGUAAUGAGUACAAUGGUGGUUGUCGGGGGAGGAUUUGGGCCCGGUGGAGCCUUGUGGGCCAACAAAAUGUGAACUGGAGACGAGCAAUACGGAAACGAAGGCAGUGCUGGGGUUCUAGUGGAAUCUCCAACUGUCGUUUAAAGAUUGUGUACUCCACUCAAAGGUUUCAUUUGCACCAGAUACUUGUGUGUUUUUAACAGGUUUUUCUUUCCUGCCAAGCGAAUCCAACAUUUUAAACGUAAACACACUUUCACAAUAAUUUCAUUCACGUUUAAUUUAAUAAAAUGUUGUUACUUUAUAAAAUAGGGGGACAGACGUGUUUUUCUGUUACAGUAUUUGUAACUGAAUUAAGAGCUCAGCCUUGAAAGAACGUUUUGGUAAAAUUUUUCUUUAAGUUUAUGGUUAGGUUGAACUUUUUAAAAGCAUUUUUUUCUUUUUUUAAAAAUAACUUUAGUUCUAAAGAAGAAAUGUAUUCUUUCUUUUGGCCUCUGUGGUAUGCAAAAUGUAAAUAUCAAAAAUUAUGGAUUUAUUUUAAAUGUACCUGUUGUAGAACAAAAGCCAUUUGGAGAAAUGUUCUACAUUCAUUCAUUUGGUAAUAUUUGCACUUCUCAAUACCACUGUAAAUUUUACAACCUGUUGAUCAUUUAACACUUUUAGUAAUUUUUCAUAAAAACAAAUUGUGUGUGUUCAGCUUGCUUCCAAAAUCAAUUCAACUAUGGCUUCUGGGUUGACUGUAUUUGCUCUUAUUAAAACUGAGACCUAAGGAAAUAUCUACUUCUAAAGCAUGGAAUAAAUUGUUUAUUUUCCAUAAAUACUAGUCCAUGCUUGUCUGGCACUAUCAAACAAAUCUAACAGCUGGAAUUUAAAACAAGUGUGUGUUUUGAUGAAAUAUGUUCCUGGGACUCCUGUUAACCUAAUCUGUGUAUUAUUGUAACAAACUGGAUAGUCCAUCUAGGACCUUAAAAACAUACAUGAGUAAUACAAGCUCAGACAUCAAAGAGAGAGGUGGAUACAGUCCACUCCACUUCCAGUCUUCCAAGCAUUUAAGGGUUGAGUCAAAAGAUCUUAGGUAGUUGUCUUGCACUAGCACUUCAAGUACAAAGAUACCUUUGGUGAAUUUUCAAGAAUGAAUAUAAAAUCAAUUUAAGUUCCAGUUUUUUUUUUUUAAUGACUCUCACACAAAUCAACUGGUUAUAGGCUACUUCAGCUUCUUCCUGAAGCAGUUGUAGCUCCUAAUUAAUGUGAACUCCACGAAGAAAGAACUCCCACCAUUUUAUGUGCUCUGGGAUGCGGCUGAGUCUUUCCAAUUGCAGUCUGUUUACUCUUUGGACAGCUGCAUCUCCUCCUUAUCUGCUGAACUGAGGACUGUACAAAUGUUUCUUGUGGGUCAGUGUAAUAUUAAAGAAUAGCUAUGUUUAGAAGGCCAGUUACCGUUGCUGUACCCACACGUCAGGGGCAAAGGCUGAGUGGGCAGAUGGGGGGCUGCCACCCCUCCUCACGCCCGGCUUGGGACCAGCCUGGAGUCUCAAGCCGAAACCCCUCACGCGGGUGGGCACACAAUGCCCGGCGUGUCGCCUGGGCCUCCUCGGAGGUGCUUUAACAGGCUCUUGCGCUUUUGAACGGCCCUCCUGGACUCUGAUCUGUUUAAACUAGAGGCGUUAAUAAGUGAUAACCUGGAUCUGCCCUCCUUGG